CGUCACGUGACCUCGGGCGCCUGGCCGCACGUGACCCCUCCCUUCUCUCCUUCCCCCUCCCUACACAGGCCCCGCUCCGGGCCUCUCGCCCCGCCCUGCAGGCCAGCCUGGCCCUCGGAGGAGAGGCCGUUUGGAGGCGGGGCCUUGUGCUCCACCCUAUAGCGGAGGGGGUGGGGUCACUGAGAGAGCGUCAAGUGGGAGGGGCCAGAGCGGACGUAGGCUCUCCAGGUCCUCCACGGCCUCUUGUCCGUCACGUGACCGGUGGUUCUCUGAAAGACUUUUUUUUUUUGCCACACCCGGUUCCUCUUCCCUGUGGAAAUUUGAGCAGCUGGAAAAGAAAAAAGGAAGGAAGAAAAGGGGUGGAAAAGAAAGCAUUUAUCAGCUCAGUGCCUGCCUGCCAUGUAUCUGAAGCUGUGUAACUCUGCACUAGCAGAAGUACUACAUCUGGCAUAGCUGCUGCAAUUAGAACUACCUUGUUGAAUUUGUGGUAGUCUACUAUCACCCUCCAAGAUCCAUCUGGUUUUUGUAAGACCCAGACUGGUGAAUUAAAUGGAGAUACACGGGGGACCAGGAUCCCUGCAUCCUUCAGACUGAGCAAUACCUUUGUUGGCUGCCCAGCUGUGACACUGUGCUUUAUAACAAGGAAUAUAUAGAUUUGGUCUCCACUGUUUCUGGCACAGAGCUCCUGAAACCCUUGGAAUUUCCUAGAAGAUGAAAACCCAGAAAGGGAAUGUGAUGAUCAUUCACCAGAAAACAGAUGUGAAAUCACUUUACAGUCAAAUAGCAGUGCAGAAUGUAAGCUCCAUGAAGACAGAGAUCUUUGUUUGCUGAUGUACCCAAAGUGUGCAGAAGACUCCCUGGUCACAGCAGAUGCUCAGUAAACGCUGGUUGAAAUGGAAAUUUUUUGAAGCUGUUUUCAGUGCUCACCAGCUCAGACUGCAAGAAACUCAGGACCAGGACUGUGUCCCUGCCACAGGCCCUUGUGAGCAGCACCUGGCAUGUAGGCAGGCCCUCGGGUUCAAAGUAAGUUCUAGUCUGUAUAAAAAUGUCAGGAGAGGAGGUCUUAGGGAUAAGUUUUUUUUUUCACUACUUCCUUCCACUUUUAUCUCCUUUCUAAACGUACUGGAAUAUUAAAAUAACAAAUUAAACUAAAAUAAAAUUCUGUGCAGGGGAGAGUUCCCCACCUGCACUCUAGGUGUGACCCCAUUGUCCAGCACAUAACCAGUGGGAAGAGAGAGUCUGUAAAGUCCGAACACUUUUCUCAGGGCAGGGGACAGGAAACCAGCCUCAUGGAAAGGGGCCAGGUCCUUCUUGCCCAGAGAGUUUUGAGACAUCUUAAAGCUAUUUUCAAGCAUGAGAAAGAACAUGCUAAUGAGCAGUUUUCCAUCUCUACAGGUGACAGAGCAAGAGAAAAUAUGCCUACUUCUGAGCGUAAGAGAUUUUGGUGAGAUUUAGAGAAUGCCUU